rnacentral:rRNA from 1 species
CAGUCGCCGCGGUAAUACGUAGGUGGCAAGCGUUGUCCGGAAUUAUUGGGCGUAAAGGGCUCGCAGGCGGUUUCUUAAGUCUGAUGUGAGAGCCCCUGGCUCAACCGGGGAGGGUCAUUGGAAACUGGGAAACUUGAAUGCAGAAGAGGAGAGUGGAAUUCCACGUGUAGCGGUGAAAUGCGUAGAGAUGUGGAGGAACACCAGUGGCGAAGGCGACUCUCUGGUCUGUAACUGACGCUGAGGAGCGAAAGCGUGGGGAGCGAACAGGAUUAGAUACCCGCGUAGUCCCUGUCUCUUAUAC